AGAUUAAGUUAUUAAGGGCGCACGGUGGAUGCCUUGGCACUAGAAGCCGAUGAAGGACGUUACUAACGACGAUAUGCUUUGGGGAGCUGUAAGUAAGCUUUGAUCCAGAGAUUUCCGAAUGGGGAAACCCAGCAUGAGUUAUGUCAUGU
rnacentral:rRNA from 1 species